GAUGAACGCUGGCGGCGUGCCUAAUACAUGCAAGUCGAGCGAACGGACGAGAAGCUUGCUUCUCUGAUUUUAGCGGCGGACGGGUGAGUAACACGUGGAUAACCUACCUAUAAGACUGGGAUAACUUCGGGAAACCGGAGCUAAUACCGGAUAAUAUUUUGAACCGCAUGGUUCAAAAGUGAAAGACGGUCUUUCUGUCACUUAUAGAUGGAUCCGCGCUGCAUUAGCUAGUUGGUAAGGUAACGGCUUACCAAGGCAACGAUGCAUAGCCGACCUGAGAGGGAGAUCGGCCACACUGGAACUGAGAAACGGUCCAGACUCCGACGGGAGGCAGCAGUAGGGAAUCUUCCGCAAUGGGCGAAAGCCUGACGGAGCAACGCCGCGUGAGUGAUGAAGGUCUUCGGAUCGUAAAACUCUGUUAUUAGGGAAGAACAUAUGUGUAAGUAACUGUGCACAUCUUGACGGUACCUAAUCAGAAAGCCACGGCUAACUCCGUG
rnacentral:rRNA from 1 species